rnacentral:tRNA from 1 species
GGCCUGAUGGUGAAGGGGUAACACGUCGAUCUGCAAAAUCGAUAUGCGCGGGUUCGAGUCCCGCUCAGGCCU